CCUACGGGAGGCAGCAGUGAGGAAUAUUGGUCAAUGGGCGCGAGCCUGAACCAGCCAAGUAGCGUGAAGGGUGACUGCCCUACGGGUUGUAAACUUCUUUUAUAAAGGAAUAAAGUGAGGCACGUGUGCCUUUUUGUAUGUAUUUUAUGAAUAAGGAUCGGCUAACUCCGUGCCAGCAGCCGCGGUAAUACGGAGGAUCCGAGCGUUAUCCGGAUUUAUUGGGUUUAAAGGGAGCGUAGAUGGGUUGUUAAGUCAGUUGUGAAAGUUUGCGGCUAAACCGUAAAAUUGAAAUUGAUACUGGCAGCCUGGAGUACAGUUGAGGUAGGCGGAAUGCGUGGUGUAGCGGUGAAAUGCUUAGAUACCACGAAGAACUCCGAGUGAGAAGGCAGCCUACUAAACUGCCACUGACAUUGAUGCUCGAAAGUGUGGGUAUCAAACAGGAUUAGAUACCCCGGUAGUC
rnacentral:rRNA from 1 species